AGUAGCAAUACUUAGUGGCAGACGGGUGAGUAACAUGUGGGUAUCUACCCUUUGGCCUGGAAUAACACGAGGAAACUUGUGCUAAUACCGGAUAAGUCUUUACGGAGAAAGCUUUAUGCACCAUUGGAUGAGCCCGCACUUGAUUAGUUUGUUGGUAGGGUAAUGGCCUACCAAGACUAUGAUCAAUAGCUGAUUUGAGAGGAUGAUCAGCCACAUUGGGACUGAGACACGGCCCAAACUCCUACGGGAGGCAGCAGUGGGGAAUCUUGCACAAUGGAGGAAACUCUGAUGCAGCGAUGCCGCGUGAGUGAAGAAGGCCUUUGGGUUGUAAAGCUCUUUCGUCGGGGAAGAAAAUGACUGUACCCGAAUAA
rnacentral:rRNA from 1 species